CUCAACCGGUUGUAACUCGAAAUAUUCAAUAAUCUAGGAAGCAUUGCGCUGGAGUCUGGACGUUUUACAGCAAAACGAGAAGAAAGUCCUGUGUUUGUUUCCAGUGACCGCUUGACUGACCAGCAGCAUGAGCUUCUUUGGUUUUGGUCAGAGUGCGGACAUCGAUAUAAUUCUGAAUGACGCCGAAACGAGAAAGAAAGCGGAGCAUAAAAGCGAAGACGGCAGGAAGGACAAAUAUUUUCUCUUCUACGACGGUGAAACGGUGUCGGGGAAAGUCAACGUGACGCUCAAGUACCCGGGAAAGAGGCUGGAGCACAACGGCAUCAAGAUUGAGUUUGUUGGCCAGAUAGAGCUGUACUAUGACAGAGGAAACCACCACGAGUUUGUGUCUCUUGUGAAAGACUUGGCUCGGCCCGGGGAGCUCACACAGUCACAGACGUUUGACUUUGAGUUCACACAUGUGGAGAAGCCCUACGAGUCUUACACCGGUCAGAAUGUCAAAUUGCGCUACUUUCUGAGGGCGACAGUAGGCCGGAGACUGAAUGACAUCAGCAAAGAGCUGGACAUUGUGGUGCACACACUCAGCACCUACCCUGAGCUCAACUCCUCCAUCAAGAUGGAAGUGGGGAUCGAGGACUGUCUACACAUAGAGUUUGAGUACAAUAAAUCCAAGUAUCACCUUAAAGACGUGAUUGUUGGGAAGAUUUACUUUCUGCUGGUGAGGAUUAAGAUCAAACACAUGGAGAUCGACAUCAUCAAGCGGGAGACGACCGGCACCGGGCCAAACGUCUACCACGAGAACGACACCAUGGCAAAGUAUGAAAUCAUGGACGGUGCACCGGUCCGAGGGGAGUCCAUCCCCAUCAGGCUGUUUCUGGCAGGCUAUGAGAUGACGCCCACAAUGAGGGACAUUAACAAGAAGUUCUCGGUGCGGUACUACCUCAACCUGGUCCUCAUAGACGAGGAGGAACGGCGCUAUUUCAAGCAGCAGGAGAUCACCCUGUGGAGGAAAGGGGACAUAGUGAGGAAGAGUAUGUCUCACCAAGCGAUCAUCGCCUCCCAGCGCUUCGAAGGCUCCUCCAACCCAGAGAAGAGCCAGACCCCGAGCAAUGCAGAAGAGGACAGCUAAAGCCCAGCAUGCACUUCACCCCCCCGUGUAGUGAGUGUCUGAGCCAAACACAGUGCAGACAUUCUGAAUGUGAAUAUCAUGUUUUUGCAUUGAGAUGGAAUGUGUGUGUGUGUGUGUGUGUGUGUGUGUGUGUGUGUAUAGUAUAAGAGCCACUGCGGGUGUAUUUCUAACACAACCUUUCCUAAAAACUACUUCCUUGGCUGUGCAGAAACGGUAGUCAUACAGUAGCUUUCUACAAAGUGGCUAAACAAUAGAUUGUACAGUACAUUUCUGUGCGUUUACUCAAAGGAAUGUGAGAUUUAUUCAUUCACUGAAGAUUAUUUCGCUGCCAUGGCCUCUGCUGAGAAACCGCUCCUCUCAUUUGGUUUGAAUUCCAAAAUAUGUUGAAUUUUUUUUUUUUGCUUCUUCAUUUAAAAAACAAAAACAAACGAGCAAUGACUCCUCACCACAGAAAGAUGGGAAAAACAAGUAUAAGACUUUAAAGAUGCUCUAAAAGAAAGAAAAUACAUUUACAUAUUUGUAUAAGACAAUGAUUAAUAUUUUCAUACAUUCCAAGGCUCUCAUCAGAAAUAGGCAUGGCUGUGGAGUAUUUAUUUUUUAACAGAAAUUCCAUUUGUAUCCAGCAUUUGACAUGUUUAAUGUAUCAGUGGGUUGUGGCUCGGUGUCGGGUGUUAGCCACUGCUGCUAAAACAAACGCGUGAGCGCUGUGGGAUUGUUCUUCCAUCACGGUAACCGUCUCUGACAGUUUGAAGUCCUGCUUUCUUAUUUGCACUAUGAUCUCAUUCUGCUUUUUUCUGCUCUCAGUGCUGUUUAUAAACUGGACUCAUGGCAGGGUUCAGGAGCGGAGUGAAAAUCCGACUCCACUCUCCCCGGGGAUCACUUCAAAUCUAAUAUGGACAGUAUUACACCCGUUUAGUGACAAAGUGAGUCCUGCCGGGACUGACUGCCCUGUGUGGUUAGUUAGCGUUGUGCCUAAGGGUUUAUUGCCAAAAUGUUUCAGUGCAAUACUAUAGAACUACUGCCACAGUGACAUGCUCCGCCCUUUCUCCCCAUUUAGACUGUGCUCCUCUCUUAAUCCACUACAGCCACCUAUCAUGAAAUAAAAAAAAAAACAUGGGUUCACUGCCAAGAAGGUUUCAAAUGAUGGUAUUGCGAAGAACAUGAAUGUAUGA